CAACAACGCGUAGUGCUUUGAAAACAACAACAGCAGCGCCAGCGUCUGAGAAGAUUUUAAAAUCGCCAGUGAAGGUGGUCAUUACCGCAGCCGAUUCGAUCUCCGAUGAGGACAGCACGCAAACAGUCGGUUAUCAGCCGAUCGCUGGUCUUCCAAACAGACCCAUCAAUCAUGUGCAGCCAUUUAUGAAGAUGUCAGAUUUUUCGGAUAGUUCACAUAGUGGCGUCUCCAGUCCGGCCUCGUCGCUAAUUGAAAAUUUCCACAAGAAAAAUGGCAGCACACCAACAACAAAUGUUGGUGUUGGUGGUGGUGGUGGCGUCGUUACAGUUACUACAGUUACAACGCCCGGCAUCAAUGGCCUCACGGUGGGUAACUGCAAUGGCAGUAAUGGUUUGAGCAGUGCAACAACAACGACCGUGGGGCGACACAUAAACACGAGUUCGAGUAGUAGUGUUAAGGAAACAUCAUCCACAUCGCAGCAUCAGGUCGUUAACAGCAGUACAACAACGCGCGUUGAAAAGAAACGUCUGCACCAUAUAACAUCCUCAUCAUCUUCGUCAACGUCCUCCUCGUCCACAUCAUCAUCUGAAAUGAAGACGGCAGCACUGAAACGCGAUUUGAGCGAAAUCAAAAAUUCCAUGUCCGAAAUCACCGAUCUGGUCGGUCGCAAUACCAACAAUGCGAGCGGCGGCGGUGGUCUGGGCAGCAACAAAAACCUGGCCAUCUCAGCGUCAGCGCAUCAGCCAUCCAUAAACGAUCUCACACAAAUCAAUGCGUUGAACAGCUCGGAUGCCAUCAACAAAUUGAAGAAAAAAAUCCGCUCAUCCAUUGAAAAUCUCGUCGACAGCGAUGCCGAACCGUUGGUAACAUUUCCGGACACAGAUGAUGAUCAUCAUAAUUUAGCUGAUUUGGUGAGCGCUUCGAAUGGCAAAUUGACCGCCAAUGGACUGAAUGGGUCGGGUAAAAUCGUCGACACCGUUAAAUUCGAAGAGAAACGCACAAAGACCGAAUCGAAGACAAAAGUCGUAGCCGAUGGUUUCAGUACGGAGCAGGCAACCAGUAAUUUGGCCGAAAUGAAACGGCUACAAACGGGUGAUAUCGAUUAUCAGGAGGCUAAAGCGGCAGCAGCGAUGCGAAAUCGCACCGAAAUGGAUGGUGUGAAAACUGAGGAGAAUGCCGCCGUUAUACAGGAAGCCCUCUCGCUACGCACUGGCGAUAUAACUCAACAGGCUAGCAACAAUGUGGCCGCCGCCAGUAUUAAAGUGCAAAGUGACACCUUCUCCGCCGACAAGAAAGCCAUCUCACAGUCGCAACAAUCACAGACGAUGACCUCGAACGGCAUCAUCAGCCAAGAGAAGCAUAUGUCAUCCGCUUCGCAAGCGAAUUACACUAUGACCCAUAAGGGUGUCUCCAGCUCGGGCAGCAGCAUGAUCUCGUCCUCCUCACAAAUGUCCGCCACCAACGGGGCGCUCAUCAAACUGCACGACCUAAAAUUGGACGAUCUCAAGGCACUAACAUCCGGCAGCGGACAACGAGAGAUCGAACAGGCUAUCGCUAAAUAUUCCCGCGUACUGACGUCAUUCGUAAAUACGCUGGAGGACUCGAAAGCAGCGCAAGAGAAAUCGUUGUAUUUGGAGAAAAUCAAUGAGGUUAUGCAACGCGCUUGGGCUGUGCCCACACACGGUCAUGAGCUCGGCUACAGUCUAUGCAACUCAUUGCGCAAUAGUGGCGGUUUAGAUUUGCUCAUGAAGAAUUGUGUACAGGGUGAUAUGAAAAUCAAGUUCUCCUCGGCCAAAUUGUUGGAGCAAUGCUUAACUACAGAAAAUCGUACACACGUCGUGGACAAUGGUCUCGACAAAGUGGUGAAUGUGGCCUGUAUGUGCACAAAGGAACCAAACACCGAACAUUCGCGUGUGGGUACCGGCAUACUGGAGCAUCUAUUCAAACACUCGGAGGGUACGUGCUCGGAUGUCAUCAAGUUGGGUGGUCUCGAUGCUGUGCUCUUCGAAUGUCGUACAAAUGACGUGGAGACUUUGCGUCAUUGCGCUAGUGCCUUAGCCAAUUUGUCACUUUAUGGUGGUGCUGAAAAUCAAGAAGCUAUGAUCUUUCGCAAAGUACCCAUGUGGUUAUUUCCAUUGGCCUUCCAUGACGAUGAUAAUAUAAAAUAUUACGCCUGCCUUGCAAUUGCCGUACUCGUGGCGAACAAAGAGAUCGAAGCUGAAGUGCUUAAAUCAGGUUGUCUCGAUUUGGUGGAACCCUUCGUCACCACACACGAUCCCUCCGAAUUUGCGCGCUCCAAUUUAGCGCAUGCCCACGGACAAAGCAAGCAUUGGCUAGAACGUUUGGUGCCAGUAUUGAGUUCGAACCGUGAAGAGGCACGCAAUCUCGCCGCCUUCCAUUUCUGCAUGGAGGCGGGCAUUAAGCGUGAACAAGGCAAUACAGAAAUCUUUCGCGAUAUUGGCGCGAUCGAAGCCCUUAAGACUGUAGCGAGUUGCCCGAAUGCGAUCGCAUCUAAAUUCGCCGCGCAAGCGCUUCGUCUCAUCGGUGAAACUGUGCCACAUAAACUCUCGCAACAGGUACCAUUGUGGUCGGUCGAAGACGUGCAAGAAUGGGUAAAACAAAUUAAUUUCGGUCAGUUUGUGAAACAGUUCGAGGAGUCUCAAGUUGAUGGUGAUCUAUUGCUGAAGCUGAAUGAGGAAAAUCUACGCGAUGAUAUUGGCAUCGCGAAUGGCAUACUGUUGAAACGUUUUGAACGCGAGCUGCAAAAUCUCAAACGCAUGGCCGACUACUCAUCGAAAGAUACGGCAAAGAUGCAUCAUUUCUUGGCCGAAAUCGGUGCAGAGUACUGUACCUACACAUAUGCAAUGCUGAAUGCCGGCAUAGAUCGGAACUCGCUGCCACAGCUGAAUGAGGAUAUGCUCAUUGCUGAGUGUGGCAUCAAGAACUCCAUACAUCGGCUGCGUAUACUGAAUGCCGUAAAAAACCUAGAAAACUCAUUACCCAGCUCGUCGGAGGAGAAUAUGGCAAAGACCUUGGAUGUCUUUGUCAGCUAUCGGCGUUCGAAUGGCUCGCAGUUGGCCAGUUUAUUGAAGGUUCACUUGCAGUUGCGCGGUUUCUCGGUGUUCAUCGAUGUUGAGCGCCUGGAAGCGGGCAAAUUCGAUAAUGGACUGCUAAACAGUAUUCGACAAGCGAAGAAUUUCGUUUUAGUAUUAACACCAAAUGCGUUGCAACGCUGUGUGGAUGACGACGAUGGCAAGGAUUGGGUGCAUCGCGAAAUCGUCGCCGCGUUGAAAUCAAAUUGUAAUAUUAUUCCUAUAAUUGAUCAGCAAUUUAUAUGGCCAGAGACCGAUCGCUUGCCAGAAGACAUGCGCAGCGUUUGCCAUUUCAACGGCGUCACGUGGAUACACGACUACCAGGAUGCCUGCAUCGAUAAACUAGAGAGAUUCAUGCGUGGUGAGAAGAAUUUGGAUCGCCUUGUGGGCAUACCCAGCACACCGGGCUCGGUGACCUACCAAAGAAUGCACAGCAAUGACUCCGACUAUCAGCAAAGCGUGGGCGGCGGCAGCGUCGGCGGCGGUGGCAGUGGCGUUGUAUGUGUCAGCGGUGCCGGUGGUGCGGCGAAUAGCAGCGGACAAGCAGCUAAUCACCAGGCAAAUAGAUACCGGCAAUCCCCUUCACCGGCCAGACAACGGAUCGGGGGCAGCUGCGGACCGCUCGGCAGCAACGGUCAACUGAGCAUGUUCGGGCGUGGUUCGAAGCGCAACCUAAUCACGCCGUACCGCACACAACAGACGAUGGCGCAGCCGAAGACGCCACUCAUGGGUGGCUCCAUGCAAAAUAUGUCACCGGCUAGCUACCGGCCGCCCCGGCGCAGCUCGGCCAGUGGCAUUAACAAUGGCAAUAAGAAUAGUGCGUCAGCCGGUGCUGUCACAAAUUAUCGCAGUCAUAGUGUUGAUGAAUUGCUAGACACCACCGACGGUUUGGGCUCCAACGAUCGCAUUGCCGAUAUGGCGGCACGUGUUACGGCCGGCAGCACAGCGCUGACCAACGCCAGUUCGACAAGCACAUUACAACCGGGCAACGGUUAUGCCUCAUCGGUUGGUUCGCUGUCCGAGUUUGCCAGUGAAGCGCCGCCACAAACGGUCGCUAGACGUGAGAAGAGCGCCAAUAUACCAACGAAUGCGCAGCACCGUAAAUCGCGUUCGCUCGAUCAUUUUCUCGAUGACAAGACGUUGGCGUUGGUGGUGGCGUCGCAACCACAGCCGGCGCUCAUGGAAGGUACGCAAAGUAUGCAGAAUCUUGCCACACCCGCAACGCCCGAUCUCAAACGCGGCACACGCACACAACCGUUAACGCAACGCGGCGAUAGCGUGUGCACAUCCAGCGCCGCAACCACGCCCGAACCGGCCGAUGUCGGCUUACGGAAGACGCACGCCGGCGGUAUGCUGCCGGUAACGCGUCGCAGCCCGGAGGGUGUCAGCUCGACGGAUGACACACAAUCGUUGCGCAGCAGCAAUACCUCAUGCGGCAGCAUGUUCAGAUCGCAGGUGCGCGCGUCGGCGCAUACACAUCGCGGCAGUCAGAAUAGUGGCAAAACGUCGUCAACUUCGCUGAGUAGCAAUGCGCCGGGAAACAACACGCACAGCAACAGCAGCAACAACAACAAUGCAAACAAUAAAACCAUUCUGAAUCGAACAAUUAAAAAAGUUCGUUCGCUGAUGAAAAAGUAAGCAUCACACACACACACAGUCACACACUCAAAUAUACACUCCAAUAAACACUUAACUCGUAUACCCGUGUAUCAGUGAAGUUGCGAUCUCAAUCAAAAUCAAUAUCGAAAUGUUUGCGCCAAUCAGUUCACCCAAUGUACAUAAAUAUGUUGAAACCGUAAACAAUCAAUCGUAUACAUUCGUGUGUCACCAUAUUAUCGACCAAUCAGCAGUUAACUUGUCUCGCUCACUGUAUCUCUGUAUCUCUCUCUCUCCCGCUUUCCCUUCUUCUAAUAAAACUGCUUCAUAAAAUGCAUUUUAAAUUCUAACUGUUUCUCAUUAGUGUCUUGUUGUUGCCAUAACCAUCUCGCCGUGCUUCCAUACAUACAUACAUAUGUAGUAUACAUACUAUACUAUAUGUUAUACAUAACCAUACAACUUCAUAUAUUUUUUUAUUAGUUAAUAUAGUUAGUUGAUAAGCUAUAAGUAAGAAUUAUAUGGCGCUUGCCACACAGCGAGUGCUCUGCCGCGCUUAGAUUUUAGACCUGAUAGCUUAAUUCCCGCUUCUUCAAUACAAUCCUGCAGUUGCAUAGCUCAGCAUGUGUGGAGCGACUCUCUCACGAAAUUUUUUCAGAACCCCACUAAAAAAUAUAGAUUUUUAGGUCACCAAAGGCUUUAUACACCCAUGUAGAAAAGUAGAGAUUACUCGAACAGAGGUAAGACGUUAGAUAAACCCAAACCAGUGGUGUAUUAUCACAUAACGAAAGCAAUGUUAAAAGCCAGAGUCCUUUCUUAGGGUGUAUGUUGAGCACAGUAAACCGAUUUGUAAGACUUUAUACGAUAUAAUUAUACUAACUUCUAGCAACUACUUUACUUAAUUUUCGAUAUUAGUAACUAUAUAUAUGUACUUAACAUCACUCUCUUCAUUAGCAAAGUUUCAUAUUCAGCUUUCCUAGUUUAUUCAGAUAUUCUCGACAAAUCAGCUAAAAUUACGACAAAUGUGUCUUGGUUUUUAAACCACUUAAUUAUAGAAAAUACUAAAAAAGUUAGCAACAGAUGAUUACAGUUCCUCAACUCUAAUUUACAGCGAAAUCUCUUCAGCAUACUCUUAGCAGCUUUCAAAAAUAUGCGACCAAUAAUAUAUGCUGACUCAAUCUAAAUUUCAGAGAAACCCUUCAACCUUACAAGAGUAGAGAGUUAUGUUAGGGCUAAUGCCUUCUCAAAUGAACCUUAUACCCGAAAUUGGUUCGAAGCUCUGAUAAUGUAGUCGCAAUAAUCAAUUAGCACAUUUUCAAAAAAGAAAUAGAUAGAAGAUCUCAUAGUAGUAGUUACAAAUUCAGCACAUUCUCAGCCCAUAAACAAUUGAAACUCUGCACAUUUUACGCUCAGUCAAACUAGACACUUACAUCACUGCUGCGAAUAUCUACUUAAGAGGAUACUCGUAUAUAAACUAUACAUUCAACUUUCUUUAUGAAAAGUAACGCAUCUAAGGAUUCUUUGCCUCCCCUUUCGCUACAAAUAUAACAAACGAAGUGCUUAUCUGGUAACAGUAUCUCGCUAAUUUCAAUACGUUUUUUCUCUUUUCAAAAGUAAUUUUUUAAUAACAAAAUUUCUUAGUAACGUUUAUUACAAACUAACAGUGAACUUUGGUAGCCUAGGAGAUUACAUUCUUGUAAAGAAAUUUCGAAAAACUUGUGAGCUAAUGUGACGUCAGCAUAGCAGCUGAUUUUGACAAUUGCGCUGUGUAGCGCUUGACGUUGCUGUAAUCUCUCUAUUUAACAGAAAACCAAGUUACUGCUCUUUUUUUAUUUUAGUUGUUGUUUCGUCAUUAAAAAUACGAUAAUGGAAAAUAUAUGCUUGUAUGCCAGCUUGUGUGCGAAACCAUGACACUUAAUACAAACAUACAAACAUAUUUGAUAAUUCGAGCGACUGGAAGCCAAACUAACCGAGAUACAAUCUAUUUGCCUUGUGAUUAGUAGGUGACCAUAAGAGAGCAUCAAUUACUUGUUGCGCCUUUUGCCUGAAAACGUCGUCGUGCACGCCCAUUUCAACGUGUC